AAAUUGAAGAGUUUGAUCAUGGCUCAGAUUGAACGCUGGCGGCAGGCCUAACACAUGCAAGUCGAACGGCAGCACAGAAGAGCUUGCUCUUUGGGUGGCGAGUGGCGGACGGGUGAGUAAUGUCUGGGAAACUGCCCGAUGGAGGGGGAUAACUACUGGAAACGGUAGCUAAUACCGCAUAACGUCGCGAGACCAAAGUGGGGGACCUUCGGGCCUCACACCAUCGGAUGUGCCCAGAUGGGAUUAGCUAGUAGGUGGGGUAACGGCUCACCUAGGCGACGAUCCCUAGCUGGUCUGAGAGGAUGACCAGCCACACUGG
rnacentral:rRNA from 1 species